CACGGUUUACCUUACAGUAUCAAACAUUUCAAAUCACAAUCAGAAGAAAUCUUGCUCAAAUGGCGCUUCUGAGUAAAACACUGUACACAAUACAAAAUUACACCUCAAUAUCACUGAUUCUGUGUUGUACAUGUAACACAUACAGGCGAAACAUACUAAUAAUCAUGCAGUUAUCAUGGAAUACACAAAUAUUCUUCACAUUCACCAAUAGAAACUGUUAUUCACAAUGUGAUCUUAUUUCUGUUCCUGAAAAGUUGUUUUCAGUGUAUUUUCUCCUUGAAAUCGAUCACUUCAGGUACUAUUACUGUGCAUACCUAGCUAAAUUAGUGUCUAGUUUCGUCUCUGAUGACAUUUAUUUCGUAAAAAUCGCUGUUUUUUUCUAAAAAGGUGUUUUUGUGGUCAUUUUGGCUGUUUAUUUCGAGGGUACGGUAGGAGGUCAUCGUUCACUCGAUAACUCUUUUUAAAAUGAAAUAAAAGCGUUUUAAGAUACAUGAUAUGAAUUGAUAUUAAUAUUCGUUAAGUGGGAUUGUCGGUGGACGUUCAUUGUUGAACAGUUGUGCUGGAAUUACGAAAAUAUAUCGAUAUCGUUGAGAGUUCAUUCAUUAGGGGCCUGUUCUCAAUUUUCCUUACAACGCCUCUAGCACUGGGCAAUUGCCACCAUCUUGAAAAGCAGUGCCGCGGAUGGCUAUCGCAUCGCCACUACGCAUGAGAACACGAUGGCUGCCCUGCGCUGCAUUGAUAGUUCGUAAUAAAUUCACAUAAAAACACACCAGAAGAUCUCCGAUUUUAUUUACAAAGAUCAUAUUUUGUUAUUUAUUGAUAAAACAAGCCAUUUUACCACAGCAGGUGACACAUUAGGCCUGAAUAAGACUUUAGAAUUUGAAGUGGUGGUGACGAUGCCGAUAUCCAAGAUGGCGGAAUUAUACCAGUGGUCAAAUCUCAUCUAUUUUGGGUAAUUGCAUCAUUAUUUCUUUUUGUGAUUGGUGAUUUGUAAAAUUGAGAAUGAUUGAAAAAUCAGUAUUUUUUCACCCAAAGGCAUGAGUGAACAUUUGAUAAGUUUAUUGUGAUUUAAUUGGUAAUUUGGUCGACAUUUUGACAAUUAUAUUUAGCAAUAUUUCGAUAAAUGCGGACCUGCUUCUUCCUCUUUUCGUAGUGACGGUGUUUCGAUAACUCAGUUAGACUUCGAGAUCUACAUUUUCGACAAAGGCCUGGUGUAAAUUACGUACUUAAUGAAGGUUUAAUGACACGAAUGAGUACAAGUACAUUACAUUUUUCGACGAAGGCCUUCUGUAAUUUCAUACGCUUCUUACGCAACAUUCAAUAGAUUUAUUUACUGUAUUAUCAUUUCGACCAAGGCGAAUUCGACACUUCAAUUACACAAGGUUAGUAACUUUUGUUCACAAAAUCCAAAUGGAGGCAAAUACAGAACAAUCAAACUUAGUCAUUCCAGUCAGUUACUGAAGCACAGUGAAAACUGUCGGGAGCAGUGCAACUGAUGGCAUGUCAAACUUCCAGUGACUGUCCCUGUCCAUAUAUUUCAAGACAGUACAAAUCUUGUAAUCAUUUUGUUUAUGCAAUGUACGUUAUUAUGUAUCAUUUCAGCACAAUCAAACUUAGUCAUUCCAGUCAGUUACUGAAGCACAGCGAAAACUGUCUGAAUUAGUGCUGCUGAUGGCAUGUAAUUACUCUACUACCACUACCAGUGACAGUCAAUGUCCAUAUAUUUUCAAGUGUGCGAAAUUAGUACUCGUCUACUUCUUAGUGUUAUUUGAAUGCAAUGUAUGUUAUAAAAAUAUUUUUUCAACACUAUAUCAACAUUCUCAUUCCUGUCAGUUUCUGAAAAUCAGCUAAAGCAAUCGCUACCAAUGCAGCUGAUAACAGCAAUUCUUUUUGUUCCCAAUGCCCAUCCAUGACAAUAUAUUUCACGCAUGUGACAAGCAUGUGACAAUCAUGUAAUCGUCCUGUUUUUUGUGUUCUUUUCAUGCAAUAAAUAAAUUCAGUAUUUUCAAAUCAUUGGUGCUACAAAACUAUUCUCAUUAUAGAUUAUUCAUAUUUUAUAAAAUGCUGUCAUGUCAAAUUUUGUGUCCUAUAAAUCAUUAUGAAGUCGGCAUUUUAUAUACAACUUUUGUACUCCUCCUAAAUAAACAUACAAAUCUUGUUUUAUGUAAACUUUGUAUAUGUGACCCGUCACAGCAAAACCAGGCGCAUGUCGCUCUGAGCUUGGCAGGUUGAGACGGACUGUUUGUUCAUUUAUCUAUUGUCUGCCUUUUGUAAAAUAUGAGCACAUCAAUUUCUUCCAUUAUCUCCUGGUGUCAUUUAGGCUCAUCUUCUGUGCGACAUGUACCUGGUUUUGCUGUGACGGGUCACAUAUUCUAUAGAUAUACAACACUCUAAUGUCACAAUGCCUCUCUCACUCGCUUUUAUAUAGCAAGAUGUAUGAAUAAACAUGACACACCAACUAUGUACAAAAUUGCUAACAAACUGCACCAUUUGUCAGUACACCACAUGAAAUACAGAGAUAUGUCUUAAUUCUAAUCUUUCAUUAGCGACACCAUUUCUUACCAGAGUGCCUCCUUCAUUCAUACAUCUUGUACUUUAACUCAAGAUACCCAUCUUUGAAUAUUUUUAGUAUACCAAGUACUACAAUGUCAAUGUAUUGAAGUCAUGUUCUUGUAGUGUUAUUGGCUUUCUAUUAUCUUGUCAAAAUACCACUUGGUUCUCGCAAAAUCUCAAUAAAAACAAAUGCUAUUGCAUGUAUUGCAUAUUCUAACAGCUAUCCACUGUAUCGAUUUAUCCAUCAUCUGUACUAUUUGUCACAAAAAUGUUAUAUUAUGUAAAUCAUAUUUCAUUACAUAAUGCACACUGCCAAUUACUGCUGAACCAUUCAUAUGUCAUUUAAAUAAAUAAUUUUC